rnacentral:tRNA from 1 species
GGGCUGGUAGCUCAGUGGUAGAGCAGGCGCCUUUUAAGCGCUCGGUCGUGGGUUCGAUCCCCACCCGGCCCACCA